rnacentral:rRNA from 1 species
CUACGUGCCAGCAGCCGCGGUAAUACGGAAGGUCCAGGCGUUAUCCGGAUUUAUUGGGUUUAAAGGGAGCGUAGGCGGAUUGUUAAGUCAGCGGUUAAAGGGUGUGGCUCAACCAUGCAUUGCCGUUGAAACUGGCGAUCUUGAGUGCAGACAGGGAUGCCGGAAUUCGUGGUGUAGCGGUGAAAUGCUUAGAUAUGACGAAGAACUCCGAUUGCGAAGGCAGCUGACGGGAGCGCAACUGACGCUGAAGCUCGAAGGUGCGGGUAUCGAACAGGAUUAGAUACCCUGGUAGUCCGCACAGUAAACGAUGGAUGCCCGCUGUUGGUACCUGGUAUCAGCGGCUAAGCGAAAGCAUUAAGCAUCCCGCCUGGGGAGUACGCCGGCAACGGUGAAACUCAAAGGAAUUGACGGGGGCCCGCACAAGCGGAGGAACAUGUGGUUUAAUUCGAUGAUACGCGAGGAACCUUACCCGGGCUUGAA